CCUUCGGGGUUAGUGGCGGACGGGUGAGUAACACGUGGGAACGUGCCUUUAGGUUCGGAAUAGCUCCUGGAAACGGGUGGUAAUGCCGAAUGUGCCCUUCGGGGGAAAGAUUUAUCGCCUUUAGAGCGGCCCGCGUCUGAUUAGCUAGUUGGUGAGGUAACGGCUCACCAAGGCGACGAUCAGUAGCUGGUCUGAGAGGAUGACCAGCCACACUGGGACUGAGACACGGCCCAGACUCCUACGGGAGGCAGCAGUGGGGAAUCUUGCGCAAUGGGCGAAAGCCUGACGCAGCCAUGCCGCGUGAAUGAUGAAGGUCUUAGGAUUGUAAAAUUCUUUCACCGGGGACGAUAAUGACGGUACCCGGAGAAGAAGCCCCGGCUAACUUCGUGCCAGCAGCCGCGGUAAUACGAAGGGGGCUAGCGUUGCUCGGAAUUACUGGGCGUAAAGGGCGCGUAGGCGGAUCGUUAAGUCAGAGGUGAAAUCCCAGGGCUCAACCCUGGAACUGCCUUUGAUACUGGCGAUCUUGAGUAUGAGAGAGGUAUGUGGAACUCCGAGUGUAGAGGUGAAAUUCGUAGAUAUUCGGAAGAACACCAGUGGCGAAGGCGACAUACUGGCUCAUUACUGACGCUGAGGCGCGAAAG
rnacentral:rRNA from 1 species